UGGGGAAUAUUGCACAAUGGGCGCAAGCCUGAUGCAGCAACGCCGCGUGAACGAUGAAGGUCUUCGGAUCGUAAAGUUCUGUUGCAGGGGAAGAUAAUGACGGUACCCUGUGAGGAAGCCCCGGCUAACUACGUGCCAGCAGCCGCGGUAAUACGUAGGGGGCUAGCGUUGUCCGGAAUCACUGGGCGUAAAGGGUUCGCAGGCGGAAAUGCAAGUCAGGUGUCAAAGCGUGGAGCUUAACUCCAUUAAGCACUUGAAACUGAAAGACUUGAGUGAAGGAGAGGAAAGUGGAAUUCCUAGUGUAGCGGUGAAAUGCGUAGAUAUUAGGAGGAAUACCGGUGGCGAAGGCGACUUUCUGGACUUUUACUGACGCUCAGGUACGAAAGCGUGGGGAGCAAACAGG
rnacentral:rRNA from 1 species